GACGAACCACACAAACGUUAUUCGGAAUUACUGGGCUUAAAGGGUGCGUAGGCGGCGCGGAAAGUAGGGUGUGAAAUCCCUCGGCUCAACCGAGGAAUUGCGCCCUAAACUACCGUGCUCGAGGGAGAUAGAGGUGGGCGGAACUUAGGGUGGAGCGGUGAAAUGCGUUGAUAUCCUAAGGAACACCGGUGGCGAAAGCGGCUCACUGGAUCUCUUCUGACGCUGAGGCACGAAAGCUAGGGUAGCGAACGGG
rnacentral:rRNA from 1 species